GACGUCAUCGGGGCGCGCCGGGCGCUCUCCGAAGCCGCGGCGGCGGAUGAAUGGCGGGGGCGCUGGCGCCGCGAGACGCCUCGCUCUCCCGCGGGCCGGUCGGCUCCCUGCCGCGCCCCGGAGCCCCUUUUCCUCAGCCUCCCCUUUGGUCUCGUCCCCCGCGGCUGACUGUCGGAAGGGGGGAGCCGGCUUCCCGUCUGCGCCGCCUUCCGGUCGCCUCCGCGGCCGCCCGGGUCCCGAUCGAGAGCCAGAUUUUUAUAUGCCGGCGCUCAAAAGAGGGGUGCAGGAAGGAGAUGCUGCAGGUGAUUUGUGACCAGGGCCGCGGCAGUUUCCGUAUUCAGCGUAGACACCCUCUGGAUCACAGCUGCCCACGCGGGAACCUUGCUGUCAGUGUAGCCGGAGAGAGACAGAGCGUGAGCGUGGGAGGGGCAGAGAGAGAGAGGGAGACACAGAAUCUGAAGCAGGCUCCAGGAUCCGAGCUGUCAUCACACAGCCCGACAUGGGGCUCGAACUCACGGACCGCGAGAUCAUGACCUGAGCCGAAGUCGGACGCUCCACCGACGGAGCCACCCAGGCGCCCCGAGGCGUCUUCUUUUGAUGAGGACACAGUCAUGUUGGAUUAGGAUCCCAACCUUUUCCACUCUGAGCGCAUCUCCGCUGAUUACAUCUCCGAUGACCUUACUUCCAAACAUCACGUUCUGAGGUCCCGUUUAAGACGCAUCGGCCUAUCUUUCUGUGGGGACACGAUUCAACCCACUCGCUAGUAGUGUAACCAAGAGCACCUUCCUCAAGUCAGUAGAAACAUCUCCCUAAACC